GACAAACGCUGGCGGCGUGCCUAAUACAUGCAAGUUGAGCGCUGAAGGUUGGUACUUGUCCCAACUGGCUGAGCAGCGAACGGGUGAGUAACGCGUUGGGAAUCUGCCUUUGAGCGGGGGACAACAUUUGGAAACGAAUGCUAAUACCGCAUAAAAACUUUAAACACAAGUUUUAAGUUUGAAAGAUGCAAUUGCAUCACUCAAAGAUGAUCCCGCGUUGUAUUAGCUAGUUGGUGAGGUAAAGGCCCACCAAGGCGAUGAUACAUAGCCGACCUGAGAGGGUGAUCGGCCACAUUGGGACUGAGACACGGCCCAAACUCCUACGGGAGGCAGCAGUAGGGAAUCUUCGGCAAUGGACGAAAGUCUGACCGAGCAACGCCGCGUGAGUGAAGAAGGUUUUCGGAUCGUAAAACUCUGUUGGUAGAGAAGAACGUUGGUGAGAGUGGAAAGCUCAUCAAGUGACGGUAACUACCCAGAAAGGGACGGCUAACUACGUG
rnacentral:rRNA from 1 species